rnacentral:rRNA from 1 species
UACGUAGGGGGCAAGCGUUGUCCGGAUUUAUUGGGCGUAAAGAGCUCGUAGGUGGUUCGGUAAGUCGGAUGUGAAAUCUCCAGGCUCAACCUGGAGGGGUCAUUCGAUACUGGCGUGACUAGAGGUCGGUAGGGGAGUGUGGAAUUCCUGGUGGAGCGGUGAAAUGCGCAGAUAUCAGGAGGAACACCAGUGGCGAAGGCGGCGAUCUGGGAAGAUACUGACGCUGAGGUGCGAAAGCGUGGGGAGCAAACAGG